rnacentral:misc_RNA from 1 species
UACAAGAACGAGGUGCA